rnacentral:rRNA from 1 species
UACGGGGGGAGCAAGCGUUGUUCGGAUUUACUGGGCGUAAAGGGCGCGUAGGCGGCUUCGUAAGUGGUGUGUGAAAUGUCCUGGCUCAACCAGGGAAUUGCGCUCCAAACUGCGAGGCUUGAGGGCAGUAGAGGAAGCUGGAAUUCCAGGUGUAGCGGUGAAAUGCGCAGAUAUCAGGAGGAACACCAAUUGCGAAGGCAGCUCGCUGGGACGUUACUGACGCUGAGACGCGAAAGCGUGGGGAGCAAACAGG